UACGAGGGGGGCAACUGUUGUUCGGAAUCACUGGGCGUAAAGGGAGCGUAGGCGGGUUUUUAAGUCAGGUGUUUAAUCCCGGGGCCCAACCCCGGACAGGCACUUGAAACUGGGAAUCUUGAAUAGGGGAGAGGUCAGUGGAAUUGGAGGUGUAGCGGUGGAAUGCGUAGAGAUCUCCAAGAACACCAGUUGCGAAGGCGGCUGACUGGACCCAUAUUGACGCUGAGGCUCGAAAGCAUGGGGAGCAAACAGG
rnacentral:rRNA from 1 species